UCGUCCCUAGCUUUCGCGCCUCAGCGUCAGUGUCGGCCCAGCAACCCGCCUUCGCCGCAGGUGUUCCUCUCGAUAUCUACGCAUUUCACCGCUACACCGAGAAUUCCAGUUGCCCCUUCCGCACUCAAGCACGACAGUAUCACUUGACCGCUCUGAGUUAAGCCCGAGAGAUUUCACAAGUGACUUGUUGCGCCGCCUACGCGCCCUUUACGCCCAGUAAAUCCG
rnacentral:rRNA from 1 species